rnacentral:rRNA from 1 species
UCGGGAAUUUUGGGCAAUGGGCGAAAGCCUGACCCAGCAACGCCGCGUGAGGGAUGAAGUAUUUCGGUAUGUAAACCUCGAAAGAAUGGGAAGAAUAAAUGACGGUACCAUUUAUAAGCUCCGGCUAACUACGUGCCAGCAGCCGCGGUAAUACGUAGGGAGCAAGCGUUGUUCGGAUUUACUGGGCGUAAAGGGCGCGUAGGCGGCGCGGUAAGUCACUUGUGAAAUCUCUGAGCUUAACUCAGAACGGCCAAGUGAUACUGCUGUGCUAGAGUGCGGAAGAGGCAACCGGAAUUCUUGGUGUAGCGGUGAAAUGCGCAGAUAUCAAGAGGAACACCUGAGGCGAAGGCGGGUUGCUGGGCCGACACUGACGCUGAUGCGCGAAAGCCAGGGGAGCAA